AGUCUGCAACUCGACUACAUGAAGCUGGAAUCGCUAGUAAUCGCGGAUCAGAAUGCCGCGGUGAAUACGUUCCCGGGUCUUGUACACACCGCCCGUCACACCAUGGGAGCCGGAAAUGCCCGAAGUCUGUGACUCAACCGAAAGGGGGAGCUGCCGAAGGCAGGCCUGGUAACUGGGGUGAAGUCGUAACAAGGUAUC
rnacentral:rRNA from 1 species